rnacentral:rRNA from 1 species
UCGGGAAUUUUGGGCAAUGGGCGAAAGCCUGACCCAGCAACGCCGCGUGAAGGAUGAAAUCCCUCGGGAUGUAAACUUCGCAAGAACGGGGAGAAUAAGCCGGUGUUAACAUCACCGGCGAUGACGGUACCGUUUGUAAGCUCCGGCUAACUCCGUGCCAGCAGCCGCGGUAAUACGGGGGGAGCAAGCGUUGUUCGGAUUUACUGGGCGUAAAGGGCGCGUAGGCGGCCACCGCAAGUCAAUUGUGAAAUCUCCGGGCUUAACUCGGAAAGGUCAACUGAUACUGCGGGGCUAGAGUGCGGAAGGGGCAACUGGAAUUCUCGGUGUAGCGGUGAAAUGCGUAGAUAUCGAGAGGAACACCUGCGGCGAAGGCGGGUUGCUGGGCCGACACUGACGCUGAGGCGCGAAAGCUAGGGGAGCGAACGGG